rnacentral:rRNA from 1 species
UACGUAGGGUGCGAGCGUUCAUCGGAAUUACUGGGCGUAAAGCGUGCGCAGGCGGCGCCGCAAGUCAGGCGUGAAAUCCCCGAGCUUAACUUGGGAAUGGCGCUUGAAACUACGGUGCUGGAGUGUGGCAGAGGGAGGUGGAAUUCCACGUGUAGCGGUGAAAUGCGUAGAGAUGUGGAGGAACACCGAUGGCGAAGGCGACUACCUGGCCUGUUCUUGACGCUGAGGCGCGAAAGCUAGGGGAGCAAACGGG